UACGUAGGGUCCGAGCGUUGUCCGGAAUUACUGGGCGUAAAGAGCUCGUAGGUGGUUUGUCGCGUUGUUCGUGAAAACUCACAGCUCAACUGUGGGCGUGCGGGCGAUACGGGCAGACUAGAGUACUGCAGGGGAGACUGGAAUUCCUGGUGUAGCGGUGGAAUGCGCAGAUAUCAGGAGGAACACCGGUGGCGAAGGCGGGUCUCUGGGCAUUAACUGACGCUGAGGAGCGAAAGCAUGGGGAGCGAACAGG
rnacentral:rRNA from 1 species